GUAAGACCGAGGGGUAUUGUGACAUGCUCCAAGGGAAAGGCAGUUUUCCCUUUGGCCAACCAAGCCUCCCGCCCAUUGGGGCAAGGGAGCCGGACCGACAUGGAACAGAGGCCUGGGGAGCAGCCCUCAAGGGCCCAGAAGAAGAAGGUCGAGGCUCAGCCGGAGACCCUAAGUCAGACUGUCUCGGGCCGCGGUCGGGUGCUGCUAAUAAGAGAGUUCUUGAAGCAGGAGGAGAGCUACACAACCCUGCAGAACUUUCCGGGUCAGCCUCCGAAGGAUCCGAACGCUGAGCCCACCUGCAGCCAAGCAACAGACUGCCAACGUAGGUCCAGCAGUGCCAAGCGGGGACUCAAGCGUACCGGCGACUGCUUGGCAGACAGCCCCGAAGCCCCGGCCACCAAGUCCAAGUGCCUGGCGGAGAAGUCGGAGAGGGCGGAGAAGCCGGAGAAGCUGGAGAAGCAGCAACUCUCGGAUCUCAAGGAAAAGGACUUGCCCGAUUGCGAGGCGCCUCGAGCUCUACCCGAGGCCCCCAGGUCGGAGACGGCAGAGAUCGCCGAACUAGGCUCGGAGCCUGGCAAGCAGCUGCUCCUGGUGCUGUGCCACGCGUCGGCGCUGGGCACGCAGCUGCCGCGGCUGCAGCUGCUCCUGCAGCAGGUGCGCAUCCAGGACCGCCGCCCGCCAGCCGCGCUCGUCGGAAUCCUGGUGCAUCCGCGGCCGGAUGAGGAGGCAGAGUCGCGCCGCCGUCUGGAGGAACUGCUCUGCAGCGUCUUCGCUUCAGAGAACCCAGGGGUCGAGGUGCACACAGCAGUGUUCUGUCCCAGCCGCUCCCAGGGUGUCCUGGAUGUCCAGCGCGCUGCCAGUCAAGCGCACAUGGACACCCAAGUGGAUCGCCAGACCCAGACGGAUGAAAGCCUUCAAGGAAACACUGUACUCCCCGUAACUCACGUACUUCAAGCUCUCGGAACUGUUGCUGUGGCUCUGGGGGCCCUGGGAGCUGCCUACUUCAUCGCUGAAUCCUUCUGAACUGGACCCCAGGCCAACGGUCCGGCAGUGACUGUGUCCACUCACACCGGUGUCCUCCAGCCUGUCCCACGUGGUCUUUGGAACGUGUGUGAUCUCUCCCACUCCUUACUUAUAACUCACCAUCUCUGCAUAUGAGGAUGUCUUCAGUCACCUGUUUCACCUGAGCCCCCUUGAGCCCCAGAAGCAGAGCCGGAAACAAGGAUUGGGUGCGCCUGAUACCUUGAGGAAGUACUCUCAGGAGGAAGCCGGGGAAAUACCACAGCACUUAAGAGCCUUGGCUCCCUCUUCCUGGACUUGCUGGGAGUGAGAAGGUGUCUGUAGGAGAUAGCUGAUAGCUGGUGACUGCUGUGUCUUGUUAUUGUAUCAGCACGAUGCCUGAGAAGAUUCUGCCUUUGGAGUUAACUUGACAAUCUCUAGACUGCUGCCUGGACUCAGUGUUAGAAACAUGUUCUUAACUUCUCUGUCCAUGUCAUCUCUGGUGGAGAGUAACAGCUCUCUCCGAAGACAAAGGUCAUGAGGAUUAAAAGAGAAAGAUUUAGAGGUGUCCUACGCAGGGCCACUGCCCAGGGUGGGGCAUAUGAAGGAUGCAAGCAUUUUUAUCUAUGAGAUUCUUUGUAGUGUCGCCGACUGCUUGAAGCAUGGGUUCUGCAAGCAUAUGAGGAUUUAGGGUUAGAUGUCCCUUUGGCAUCCAGUGCCUGGAGCUGGGGGCAGGCUCUGACAUCUCAUUCUCUUCCCGUUGAGUGGAGAUAAUACCAGCAGAACCCUCUUGUUGGGAAGAUUGAGCUUUAGAUGUUAAUGAUGGAGAGAUGUCUCACAGUGAAGCACUUGCCUUGCAAGCAUGAAGACGUGAGUUCAGAUCCCCAGCACCCGUAUAAAAAGCAGGAACCAGCAGUGUGACCCCAAUGCUGGAGAGCUAAGGCAGGAGGAUUCUUGGGCCUCUCUGGGCAGCCCGUCUAGCCAGCCAGUGAACUCUAGGUUCAGCGAGAGACUACACCUUGUCUCAAAAGUAAGGUGGGGAGCAACCGAGGAAGACGUCAUGUUGACCUCUGGCGUCCGUACAUCUAUGUAUCAAUCAGCACACACAUGCAGAGACAAACUGGUGGGGGAGGGGGGAGGAGAGAGACUGUGCUGCUGCAAAACUGCUCAUUAGGUCACCUGAGACAAACCAGGAUCCUCUGCAAGAACGAGUGUUCUUCACGGCUCAGCCAUUUCUCCAGACUUUAAUUAGCUUUGGAAGUAACAAGUUCCUUUAUGGCAUUUUCACAUUACUUAAUUUGGGUUGAUUCUCCCCGACUCCUCCUGUCUCCCCACCCUCCCAUCCGAAUUGUACUCUCCUGUCCAAGAACUGCCCCUUCCACGUCUCAUGUGACCUAUCAUCCUCCCCACACCCUUACUCAAAGCCUCUUUCUCCCAUCUACUGGGCUCCUUUCCAGCUUCCUGACACCUACUCACACAUAUUCCCACAUACAUAUGCAAAUCUGCUUCCUCUUAGAGAAAGAUGCUCCCAGAAUUUUCCUUCCUAGAGCUUGGUGAAACAACGUCUCCCUCAGCAUUUUCCUCAGCUGAUAAUGAGGCAACAAAAGCAAAAAGUUCCUUUGGGAUCUUGAAUAUGGUCAAAGUCCGCACCAUAGGAACCUCUGAGGGAAUGAGGCCCCCUCUUGGCUGCUGCGGUCUCUCGAGGAAGGGGGGGUUGACAGGGAGGAUACCGACCCUGGCAGAGCCCAGAGGACGCUCUUGGACUUGACUGUCACAGCCUUGGGGUGAAUCAGUGUAGCUGACUUCGAUUGAAGAAGCAAACAAGAAGAAUGGGAGAGAUCCGUGAAGAAGGAAGAGAAGGAAGAAGAAAGAGAGGUAGGAGAGAGAAAAGAAGAAGAGAGAAAGGAGAGGAGGAGGAAGAAGAGGAGGAGGAUAAUAAAAGGAAUUUGGAUUCUAAAAUAAUUUACUUUUUUUGCAAAAAGCAUGUAGCUGUUGAACCCUCAUAGAUAAGACUGUAAAGGUUGAAAGCUGUUGAGAUAGGUCACGAGGGACUGAUUAAGCUAAUGGUUCUGUCAUUUAUUUAUUUUUCCUUACAGAUCCAGUUUCCAUCCAAGGAUCUCACUUGUCACCAAAAUAGAGAGAGAAAAAUA